CCUUAUGGUCUACUUUCAACAAGAUAUUACGUCUACAUCCUGUUGAUGGGACGACUCACAUAACAUGUGAUUAUUAUGAUGGGCUUUAUGAAAUGUUUGGCCACCACCCAGAUGUUGAUUAUAUUAAUAUGGGAGUGGAUAUUGGAAUCACAGAUGCUGUAUCACUACUCACUAGAAAUUGAAAAAAAAGGGAUGCAAUGCUUCCAAGCACACCAGAGCCAGCACACAAAUUUAUUAGAAUAGGAAAUUGACGAUUGUCCUUUUAAAAUUGUCUUGCUUCUGCUUGGAUGUUGAAGAAGAUGCAGCUCCAACUACAGACAAGUCUGUUGAUACUUCAUCCAAUCAUGGAGGGAAUCCAGAAUCUGGGUCCAUGAAGUGAGUAUGGUUCAUUGUGCCACAACAAGGUUACCCGUUUGUAAAAAGCAGUUCAAGUUGAAGCAUCAAAAAUUUGUUUAUCAUCUGCAUGAGAAACUGAAAUGAUUAGCAGCUCUGUAGAUCCAAUGUUGUUGUUGUUUUAUCACAUACAUUGCACAGUAAUAAAAUCAAAACCAUUAGGUUGUGGCAUGGUCCGAUCAGAGUGUAUGGGUAUAGGCAAGCUUUUAUAUUAUAAAUAAAUUUUCUUUACAAGAAAGCUAAAGGGAAGGUUUUGUACAUCAACUUAAUGGAAUGGCUACAGAGAGACAGUUGGAAUAAAUCUCUACGAAUAGACUAGAACAGUUGUUCCAAGCCUCUGUACGCCUAUUUUUGUACUCUUUAAUGUGGUUUAUAUUCUGUAUACAAACAAGCAUCAUGGUAAAAUAAAUAAAGUUCGUAACCAACGCAAUAAUCCCCGAUUGCCCGGGAAACGUCGAUGUAGCGUGGUAAAUAAAGUGUUGAAAAUCGCCAAGCGUUUGUAAUUGAUAUGUACUGAAAUUUCGAAAUACGCCAGAUAAAAGAUAUGAAAAACUAACGGCAUAUUUGCGAAAUUUGUAACU